GUCAUGAUGUAACAAUAUUGUUACAACCUUGUAUGGUUAACCUCGUAACAUUCUUGUUAUAUCAUGACCGUAUCAGACUUGUUAGAACAACCUUGUAACAAGUCUGAUAAUUCCAUCAAGCUUGUUGUUAACAGCUUGUAACAAGCUUGUUGAAAUUGUCAGACUUGUUGCAAGGUUGUUCCAACAAAUCCGAUACAGUUAUAAUAUAACAAUAUUGUUACAACCUUGUGCCAUCAAACUUGUAACAUUCUUGUUAUAUCAUGAC